AGGAGGACUGAGAAGGUUCAACAGCUUCAAAAUGUGCUGUUAUAACUGGUUAUAACCUCCUAAAGAAACUGAGGCAGAUGCAACAACUAUCUCUAUGCGACCGUUUUAGAGCUACUGUUGGGUCUGCCCACAGAAA